rnacentral:rRNA from 1 species
AUUGAACGCUGGCGGCAUGCUUUACACAUGCAAGUCGAACGGUAACAGGGUGCUUGCACCGCUGACGAGUGGCGAACGGGUGAGUAAUGCGUCGGAACGUGCCGAGUAGUGGGGGAUAACGCAGCGAAAGUUGUGCUAAUACCGCAUACGUACUGAGGUAGAAAGUGGGGGACCUUCGGGCCUUCCGCUAUUCGAGCGGCCGACGUCUGAUUAGCUAGUAGGUGAGGUAAAGGCUCACCUAGGCGACGAUCAGUAGCGGGUCUGAGAGGAUGAUCCGCCACACUGGGACUGAGACACGGCCCAGACUCCUACGGGAGGCAGCAGUGGGGAAUUUUGGACAAUGGGCGAAAGCCUGAUCCAGCCAUGCCGCGUGUCUGAAGAAGGCCUUCGGGUUGUAAAGGACUUUUGUCAGGGAGGAAAUCCCUAGUGCUAGUAACACUGGGGGAUGACAGUACCUGAAGAAUAAGCACCGGCUAACUACGUGCCAGCCGCCGCCGUAA